UGAACGCUGGCGGCGUGCCUAAUACAUGCAAGUCGAGCGAACAGACGAGGAGCUUGCUCCUCUGACGUUAGCGGCGGACGGGUGAGUAACACGUGGAUAACCUACCUAUAAGACUGGGAUAACUUCGGGAAACCGGAGCUAAUACCGGAUAAUAUDUUGAACCGCAUGGUUCAAUAGUGAAAGACGGUUUUGCUGUCACUUAUAGAUGGAUCCGCGCCGCAUUAGCUAGUUGGUAAGGUAACGGCUUACCAAGGCAACGAUGCGUAGCCGACCUGAGAGGGUGAUCGGCCACACUGGAACUGAGACACGGUCC
rnacentral:rRNA from 1 species